rnacentral:misc_RNA from 1 species
UGUGACCCUUUCAGCAUGCAUCCUGA